rnacentral:misc_RNA from 1 species
UCCGGUUUAACACCGGCAGUCUCGCUAGAGUGCCCGGCCGAACCGCUGGCAACUAACGACAAGGGUUGCGCUCGUUGCGGGACUUAACCCAACAUCUCACGGCACGAGCUGACGACAGCCAUGCAGCACCUGUCUCCGCGCCCCUUGCGGGGAGGGCCCAUCUCUGGGCUUAGCACGGGAUGUCAAGGCCUGGUAAGGUUCUGCGCGUUGCGUCGAAUUAAACCACAUGCUCCACCGCUUGUGCGGGCCCCCGUCAAUUCCUUUGAGUUUUAAUCUUGCGACCGUACUUCCCAGGCGGGAUGCUUAAUGCGUUAGCUGCGCCACUGACGAGUAAACCCGCCAACGGCUAGCAUCCAUCGUUUACGGCGUGGACUAC